GAGGAUGUAGCUCAGUGGUAGAGUGUGUGCUUAGUAUGCACGAGGUCCUGGGUUCAAUCCCCAGUCUCUCCA
rnacentral:tRNA from 1 species